GCCGCUGCAAAUACCAAAAGCUGUCCUCAUUGAGUCAUCCCUCCCAGAGCAGGAAGAGCAGAGGUUCUGGGAAACAACCCCAAGGAGAGAGACAGGGCAUUUAUAAAACAGCAUGUAAGCAUCUCUGCAGUUGCUGUCCCCAGAGCCCACUUCCUGGAUAUUGCCAGCUGCCUGGACCAACCUUUCCGAAAGAUCAGCCAGGUCACAGUGAGGGUCAAAGCAGGAGGCCACUGGAGGCUCCAAGGGCUCUGAAAUGUUGAGAACUUCCCUGCAGGUACCAGCGAAGAGGGCAAGAACACAGCACUACUUCCUUGGAUACUGUUUCCCUCCUCAGAGGGGUUUUCUGAGCUGCCCUGGGUCCUGUGAGGAAGGUCACUUGCUGAGGUACUGCAUGUGAAGACUUUGACAUUUGAAUUUUGAGGGGGCCACCGUUUAACCUGAACCACCAAGGACAGAGCCAAAGACCCUGGGUGACAGGCCCAGAACAGGACCUGGUGGAGGCUCUUCUUUAGGGGAGAGAGGGAAAUGGGAGCCACCACUGGCAGAGCCUGAAGGCAGGGCAGCCAGAAAGAAGCUGUGGGAGUCCCCACCAUGGAAGACCCUGCCGAGCAUCCUGUGUCUCCUGAAGCAGACCCUGACAUGAGGACUGGGGGCACGUGUUUAUUAAGGGCGAUCCCCGGAAGGAGGAGAUAACCAGGCAGAAGUCCUAGCAGAGUAUGCCCACGCUGGUUAGUGCUGCUGCAAAGAUGAGCCGAAGACCAUGAGAGACCUCCAGGUGGUCCUUCUGGGGAGAAGAAAUGGGUUUUGGCCCCAAAUCCUUCUGCUGCAUUUUUCCCCUAUCCCUGGGAAGCCAUGAGACCUCAAACCUGUGUUCCCAAGGAGGCGAGCUGCUGUUCCCAGGUGAUGAUAUGAUGUGCUUGGGGAAAGUAAGUGGCUGCCAGACAUGGCUGAGAGCUGUUGUCACUGCCGUCAAGUGCAUGUCUCCAAGCCAUAUCACACGGCGUCCCUCGAUGUGAGGCCACAUGGCAAGUGGGCCGUGGAUCUCCCUCUGCCCUUUGCAAGCACGUAAGACAGCAGAUUUUGCAGAUACCUUGUGGCGCAGGGGAAUUUCCUUUGGCCAGGUCUGAAGAAAUAAAGCAGCAGGCACCGAGAACAAAGCCAAGGCUUUCAAAAGACAAGGAGCCAAAAAACUUACUCAAAAUAAAAGUAGUUUUAAAAUGUC
ensembl:lncRNA novel transcript